UUUUAACUACUAUAUAUAUGAUAUAUAGCAGCUACUUAGGGUAAGAUAUCAUAAUUGAAAAACCCUAGCCACUCUUAGAGAGAGACUAGAGAGAAAACAGUUUCAGAAAAUCCAUUCCUUUUGGUGGCUAGUACCGCAAGUCCUUCUUAUUGCAGAAUCGUUCGACGGUUCGUGCGGCGUUCGUGUGGAUACCGUAGAGGCGC
rnacentral:lncRNA from 1 species